rnacentral:rRNA from 1 species
AGAGUUUGAUCCUGGCUCAGGAUGAACGCUAGCUACAGGCUUAACACAUGCAAGUCGAGGGGCAGCAUGAACUUAGCUUGCUAAGUUUGAUGGCGACCGGCGCACGGGUGAGUAACACGUAUCCAACCUUCCGUUUACUCAGGGAUAGCCUUUCGAAAGAAAGAUUAAUACCUGAUAGUAUGGUGAGAUUGCAUGAUAGCACCAUUAAAGAUUUAUUGGUAAACGAUGGGGAUGCGUUCCAUUAGGUAGUAGGCGGGGUAACGGCCCACCUAGCCGACGAUGGAUAGGGGUUCUGAGAGGAAGGUCCCCCACAUUGGAACUGAGACACGGUCCAAACUCCUACGGGAGGCAGCAGUGAGGAAUAUUGGUCAAUGGGCGAGAGCCUGAACCAGCCAAGUAGCGUGAAGGAUGAAGGUCCUACGGAUUGUAAACUUCUUUUAUACGGGAAUAAAGUAUCCUACGUGUAGGAUUUUGUAUGUACCGUAUGAAUAAGCAUCGGCUAACUCCGUGCCAGCAGCCGCGGUAAUACGGAGGAUGCGAGCGUUAUCCGGAUUUAUUGGGUUUAAAGGGAGCGCAGACGGGAGAUUAAGUCAGUUGUGAAAGUUUGCGGCUCAACCGUAAAAUUGCAGUUGAUACUGGUUUCCUUGAGUGCAGUUGAGGCAGGCGGAAUUCGUGGUGUAGCGGUGAAAUGCUUAGAUAUCACGAAGAACCCCGAUUGCGAAGGCAGCUUGCUAAACUGUAACUGACGUUCAUGCUCGAAAGUGUGGGUAUCAAACAGGAUUAGAUACCCUGGUAGUCCACACGGUAAACGAUGGAUACUCGCUGUUGGCGAUAUACUGUCAGCGGCCAAGCGAAAGCAUUAAGUAUCCCACCUGGGGAGUACGCCGGCAACGGUGAAACUCAAAGGAAUUGACGGGGGCCCGCACAAGCGGAGGAACAUGUGGUUUAAUUCGAUGAUACGCGAGGAACCUUACCCGGGCUUAAAUUGCAGACGAAUUACGAGGAAACUUGUAAGCCGCAAGGCGUCUGUGAAGGUGCUGCAUGGUUGUCGUCAGCUCGUGCCG